rnacentral:lncRNA from 1 species
UAGGCUGUGAUGAUUCCCAUGGUAAAAGGUCAGUUGCUAAAGGGAUUACAGACUCAUGGAUCGAUUUAGAAUUUUGGUUUUCCAUAAGGUAAGAAUAAAGAAAAAUAAAUAAAGAAUAUAUAAGAUAAGAAAAGAUAAAAGUAUAGAUACAAGCUAAUAGCAAGACAUAGGUUAUCUCAGCAACCGUCUUUCUCCCCGGCAACGGCGCC